UAAAGAACUCAGCAAGGAAGGCUUCCAGAAGGAGGUAAGUUUUCAGUCGGUUUUAGAAGAGAGGCGAAGUUUUAGUUUACAUAUGGCUGUCAGAAGGCAGAUGAAAAGAUGAAAGAACUCACACGCCCUCAUGCCAAGACUCAGCAGCUGAAGGGGGAAGCCUUGGAGCAAAUCAAAGCAAUGUCCUUGAUUGAGGAUGAAAGAGAAUUUGGGCCUGGAAUUGGAAAUCUGUGGACACUAAUCUUCAGCUUUGUGCUGACGUCAGAGCCCCAGGACAUAGUUGUAUCUUCUAGUUGUGAGUGCCUCUGGUUGUGCUAUGUGGGAC